GUUUUAUUUUCAAUUCAAAUUCAAAUAUUCAAUUUGAUUCCAAGUUCAAGUCUCCAAGACUGGGUGCAUUAGCAAAUCCUACUCAUGAUAUGCAUAAAUAUUUAUCUCUGUUCUAGUUUGGAUUAUUUUAUCCAAAUUUUUAAGUAGGUAUUGUUACGCACACAAAUUGAAAAUUACACUUUUGAAUGUAUAGUCCAUUUAAAGUUUGGUUCAUAUUUAU
rnacentral:lncRNA from 7 species